rnacentral:lncRNA from 1 species
GCGGGGUGCCUUGGUGCUCGCUGUUCGAGUGUGAGGUAUACGUUGGUGUCGCUCGCCUCGCGGUUCAUUCGGUGCUUGGCCUUGGGGCUCUGCGACUGCCCUGGCGUCAUGCCUGAGCUCUGGCGAGAGCCUCCCGCGGGUCAACGGGGAGAGGGGGCCAGCGUGCCAGGGCCUGAGCCGGAGCGCGACGCAAUGCAAUGCGGCGACCGUCUGGAUUUCCCCCUACCUCUCUCUCUUUGUGUGUUGGGAUUUUGCUGCUGGGCAAGUACUCUGAUUCGAUAUUUUGCUGCUGCUGGCAGGGCAGGGCGGGGUACCCACUGCUGCUUCGUCGGCCUCGGCGGAGUACUAGCAUGAUGACGCGAGGACUUUGAUGAGAUGUGAACCGGCGCGGCGUCUGGCUGGCCGGCAUGGAGCGGGAUUGGUCGUCGCAGAGUUCGAGCCAGGGCGCGCCGUUCGAGGUCGACCGUGACGCAGGGUCUGUAUCUGUAUAUGCUUGGACAGAGCCUGCGUGGUGCGGUUCCGUCCAUGUCAUUCAUGCUCGGAAUCGUUCAACAAGGACGGACGGGAACACAUCAUGCUUAUCUAUCUAUCUAUCCGUGCCGGCCGUACUAUUGUACAUUGCUUGCUUGCGUUCGUCUCCUUUCUAUGCCGACUGUUUUGGCUUUUCCAGGCUGCCGCUGCUUGCUGCAUUGUGAAGUUUUGGAUCUUGACCUGCUGCUUAAAUAACUCUUCCUGGUUGAUUUUUUUAUAAUUUAUUAGUAAUAAAUUAAAUAAAGAGGGCUGCUGAGCCCGGGAUAAUUCCGUGUCAUCUAUGCAUUAUUGGUACGAAAAGCACGGUGACCAUGACAUUGACACAUACUCCAUACAAGUGGUUUUCCACCGUGAAGUGACAAG